AGGCUUCUGGCUUAUAUAAGCACUUGAUUAUUUUCUAAAGCUUCAUUCGAAUUUUGCGGUGAAUGGUUAGUGCUGAGAACAGCUGCUUAGAACUUUUCCUGCCACGUAUAAUAUUUCAGAUAUGGUCAAAUAGUUCAUUUUGCCUAAAAUUAUGCUAUCACCAUCGCUCACAAUAAGUUACCACGUCACUUUCCUGCUAAUGGUUCUCUUAACGAUUAGGUUUUGCCUAGCAAAUGCAGAGAUUGGACGCUGUUAUUUUCCAGGAUCUACUGCUAUAUAAUUUGUAAGGCUUCUGCUAAUAUUUAAGGCCACUCUCACUGUUUGUUUCUUGCUGUCAGAGUUACUUAUGCCGGCAAGCAAGAUAACUUUGCAUUGGAGUCCAGAUCAGCAAGCAGCUAAAGGUACAAAAGGGCAUAUAAAUGGUAUAUUUGUUUGUUGCUUCCCUCUGCUUGCCGACUCAUAUCACAAGGUGAACACAUGAUUUGCCAAGUUUUGUGCCUGAACCUAAGGUGAAGUACUAUACCCAUGAAUAAACUGCAGUACUACUAAACUAUACUAAUACGGAACCUACAUUUUCUCCUACAUUACAUGCCUGGUGAUUCGAAGGAUCAGAAUAUCCCCCAUGUCCAUGUAUUUCGGUGUAUAUCUCCAUAAACUAAUACCAGUAUCAGGAAACAACUUGAACUGAGGCAAGGAUCUUCCUGAUGCCUUUCCUCAGCCUGUUAGCUCAAAGCAUAUGUCUCCCUCAUUAUUUUUCUCCUCAUAAGUUGGGCCAAAAAUUGGUUUGGUCAUGUUGUUGGCUAUAUAGGUUGUCUUGUGUGAUGUGCUCAUCAAUGAAGCUAUGGAUAUGAACAAAUCUUCAAUUAACUCUGCUUAGACGCUGUAACAAUCCAAUAAGUAAUGCUACUUUUUUGUCCUUUGAA